GCUGGCCGGCCUCGACACAAGGCAUUUACCCGUGCUCCUCCCGGCUCCUGCAGUCAUUGAGGGAUGGAAAUGGACCCGACCAUCCACCAGAUUAUCUUCUCGUGCAUCAUUAUGCUCACCAGAAAGAAACUGGAUAGGGCGAGAGCAGAUGAUCACUUCAGAGCUUGUUGUCAACAGGAGCAGGGUCCUACCUGUCGGCAGCGGGCCAUCUGGUGCUAGUAAGAGCAGAGGAUUCCUGCAAACAAAACAGCUCCAAGAAAUAACAGCCAAAGAACUCAAAGUAAAAAAAUGGAACAAUGUCUGCAUGAGAUUAGCUGGCAAUCGUCUCUUUUGGGGUAAGUCUAAAGCUAAAAAACAUAUCCAUGUUAAUGAAGAUAAGAGUUUCAGCAUCGGAUUCGUUCAUCUCGCAGACCCUGCUCCCUGAGUAGACUGUCCUGAUUAACUAGUUUACACCAAAUUUUAUUUUUGUCACUACAAUAUAAUU